UUGUGGAAGGAGGACGCCGAAGGUGGGGCUGAUGACUGGGGUGAAGUCGUAACAAGGUAGCCGUACCGGAAGGUGCGGCUGGAUCACUUCCUACAGGGAGACAAAAACUGAUUUUGAUGUCUGAGCAUUUAACUCUUAGGCCAAGAUCCUGUCACCUUAGGUCGAUCGGUACCUCAAAUUAAUAACUCAAGUUUUGAACAUUCAAUCCCUAAAGUUGGUUAAUUUUAGUUCCUAAACUUUGUCUAGGUCACACCCCACAAGGGUUACUCCUGGGCCAUUAGCUCAGGUGGUUAGAGCGCACCCCUGAUAAGGGUGAGGUCCCUGGUUCAAGUCCAGGAUGGCCCAUCGGUGUUGGGGGUUUAGCUCAGUUGGUAGAGCGCCUGCUUUGCAAGCAGGAUGUCAGCGGUUCGAGUCCGCUAACCUCCACUGAUCUACCUUCUUCAACGACAAAGAGUUGAGGAGCAUUGUGUGGUGUGAUUUGAAUUGAUUCCGCUGUUGGAACCUAGCUUCCUCUCAUUCCAACCCCAAGUAUUCGAUUUGGGAAAGGUUGAAAGGAUGCUGGGCUCACUUUGAUUUUUUAAAUCUUAGAGUAGUUCAGCAGAACCUUGAAAACUGCAUAGGUGAGUCUGGAAAGAAUAAAGCAUCUCAUGGAUACGUUGUUCUUUUUCAAACAAAGUCAAUAGAGAAAUCUAUUGCUUUUUUUGAUAUUGAAUGACGUUUAAAUUCUUGAGUUAGAGCCGAGAGCUUAUAGCGUCUUUUUUUGCUUUUAUAGGCAUAAAGAGUUUGAUUAAUUAUUUCUUUUAGCUGAAAUCAGCUAAAAGAAAUAAUUAAGAAUGCGUUUCAACAACGUUUAUCGCUAUAAGGAUUAUAUGGUCAAGCUACAA
rnacentral:misc_RNA from 1 species